rnacentral:rRNA from 1 species
AGCGAACGUUAGCGGCGUGCCUAACACAUGCAAGUCGUACGAGAAAGUCGGCUUCGGUCGAUGAGUAAAGUGGCGCACGGGUGAGUAACGCGUGGAUAAUCUACCCUUUAGUCUGGAAUAACUUACCGAAAGGUGAACUAAUACCGGAUAAUAUCCCGAUUUCCCCGGAGAUCGGGAUCAAAGAAGGCCUCUGCUUGCAUGCUUUUGCUUAAGGAUGAGUCCGCGUACCAUUAGCUAGUUGGCAGGGUAAUGGCCUACCAAGGUUAUGAUGGUUAGCUGGUCUGAGAGGAUGAUCAGCCACACUGGAACUGAGACACGGUCCAGACUCCUACGGGAGGCUG